UACGUAGGGGGCAAGCGUUGUCCGGAUUUAUUGGGCGUAAAGCGCGUGUAGGCGGCCAGAUAGGUCUGCUGUGAAAACUCGAGGCUCAACCUCGAGCUGUCGGCGGAAACCAUCUGGCUAGAGUCCGGAAGAGGAGAGUGGAAUUCCUGGUGUAGCGGUGAAAUGCGCAGAUAUCAGGAAGAACACCUAUGGCGAAGGCAGCUCUCUGGGACGGUACUGACGCUGAGACGCGAAAAGCGUGGGGAGCGAACAGG
rnacentral:rRNA from 1 species